rnacentral:rRNA from 1 species
UACGUAGGGGGCAAGCGUUGUCCGGAAUCAUUGGGCGUAAAGCGCGUGUAGGCGGCCCGGUAAGUCCGCUGUGAAAGUCGGGGGCUCAACCCUCGAAUGCCGGUGGAUACUGUCGGGCUAGAGUGCGGAAGAGGCGAGUGGAAUUCCUGGUGUAGCGGUGAAAUGCGCAGAUAUCAGAAGGAACAUCAGUGGCGAAGGCGGCUUCCUGGACCAAUACUGACGAUCAGGUGCGAAAGCGUGGGGAGCAAACAGG